UACGUAGGCAGCGAGCGUUGUUCGGAAUUACUGGGCGUAAAGAGUGUGUAGGCGGUGUUCUAAGUUCGGUGUGAAAUCUCCCGGCUUAACUGGGAGGGUGCGCCGGAAACUGGAGUGCUCGAGCGUGGGAGAGGAAAGCGGAAUUCCUGGUGUAGCGGUGAAAUGCGUAGAUAUCAGGAGGAACACCUGCGGUGUAGACGGCUUUCUGGACCAUUGCUGACGCUGAGACACGAAAGCGUGGGUAGCAAACAGG
rnacentral:rRNA from 1 species